rnacentral:rRNA from 1 species
UACGGAGCGUCCAAACGUUAUUCGGAAUCACUGGGCUUACAGAGUUCGUAGGCGGUCUGGAAAGUUGGGUGUGAAAUCCCUCGGCUCAACCGAGGAACUGCGCUUGAAACUACCAGACUCGAGGGAGAUAGAGGAAAGCGGAACUGAUGGUGGAGCGGUGAAAUGCGUUGAUAUCAUCAGGAACACCGGUGGCGAAGGCGGCUUUCUGGGUCUUACCUGACGCUGAGGAACGAAAGCCAGGGGAGCGAACGGGAUUAGAAACCCGCGUAGUCC